rnacentral:rRNA from 1 species
UACGUAGGGGGCAAGCGUUGUCCGGAAUCAUUGGGCGUAAAGCGCGCGUAGGCGGCCUGGUAAGUCCGUUGUGAAAGUCAAAGGCUCAACCUUUGAAUGCCGACGGAUACUGCCGGGCUAGAGUCCGGAAGAGGCGAGUGGAAUUCCUGGUGUAGCGGUGGAAUGCGCAGAUAUCAGGAGGAACACCGAUGGCGAAGGCAGUUCUCUGGGCCGUAACUGACGCUGAGGAGCGAAAGCGUGGGGAGCGAACAGG